rnacentral:tRNA from 1 species
AUGGGAAUGCAGCUCAGUGAUAGAAUGAUUGCCUAGCAUGAGUAAAGACCUGGGUUCGAUUCCCAGUACCCAGA